rfam:Triticum aestivum genome assembly, contig: Triticum_aestivum_CS42_TGACv1_scaffold_249707_3DL
AUCUUACUCCCUCCGUCCGGAAUUACUUGUCGCAUAAAUGGAUAAAAAUAUAUGUAUCUAUAACUAAAAUAUGUCUAGAUACAUCCAUUUCUCCGACAACUAUUUUCGGACGGAGGGAGUACUAA